ACGAACGCUGGCGGCGUGCUUAACCCAUGCAAGUCGUACGGUAAGGCCCUUUCGGGGGUACACGAGUGGCGAACGGGUGAGUAACACGUGAGUAACCUGCCCACAACUUUGGGAUAACGCUAGGAAACUGGUGCUAAUACUGGAUAUGUGCUCCUGCUGCAUGGUGGGGGUUGGAAAGCUCCGGCGGUUGUGGAUGGACUCGCGGCCUAUCAGCUUGUUGGUGGGGUAGUGGCCUACCAAGGCGGCGACGGGUAGCCGGCCUGAGAGGGUGACCGGCCACAUUGGGACUGAGAUACGGCCCAGACUCCUACGGGAGGCAGCAGUGGGGAAUAUUGCACAAUGGGCGCAAGCCUGAUGCAGCAACGCCGCGUGCGGGAUGACGGCCUUCGGGUUGUAAACCGCUUUCAGCAGGGACGAAGCUUUUUGUGACGGUACCUGCAGAAGAAGCACCGGCUAACUACGUG
rnacentral:rRNA from 1 species